rnacentral:tRNA from 1 species
GUCCCAGUAGUAUAAAUAUUACUCUGGUCU